rnacentral:rRNA from 1 species
GGGGGGGGGCAAGCGUUGUUCGGAAUUACUGGGGCGUAAAGCGCGCGCAGGCGGCCGGCAAGUCCUACGUGAAAUCCCACAGCUCAACUGUGGAACUGCGUGGGAUACUGCCAGGCUUGAGUCCGGGAGAGGAGAGUGGAAUUCCCAGUGUAGCGGUGAAAUGCGUAGAUAUUGGGAGGAACACCGGUGGCGAAGGCGGCUCUCUGGACCGGUACUGACGCUGAGGCGCGAAAGCUAGGGGAGCAAACGGGAUUAGAUACCCCGGUAGUCCUAGCUGUAAACUUUGAGCACUUUGUGUGGCGGGUAUCGACCCCUGCCGUGCAGAAGCUAACGCAUUAAGUGCUCCGCCUGGGGAGUACGGUCGCAAAGGCUG